AUCCGAUGCCUAGUUCUACGAGAGUAGAAGGUACUUCCGGUACGGAUCGGUGACAGGUGGUGCAUGGUUGUCGUCAGCUCGUGUCGUGAGAUGUUGGGUUAAGUCCCGCAACGAGCGCAACCCCUAUUGUUAGUUGCCAUCAUUCAGUUGGGCACUCUAGCGAGGCUGCCGGUAAUAAACCGGAGGAAGGUGGGGAUGACGUCAAAUCAUCAUGCCCCUUAUGACCUGGGCUACACACGUGCUACAAUGGUUGGUACAACGAGUUGCGAGUCGGUGACGGCGAGCUAAUCUCUUAAAGCCAAUCUCAGUUCGGAUUGUAGGCUGCAACUCGCCUACAUGAAGUCGGAAUCGCUAGUAAUCGCGGAUCAGCACGCCGCGGUGAAUACGUUCCCGGGCCUU
rnacentral:rRNA from 1 species